CUCAAGAUCAUCUAUACGGGCACGAGCACGGCUGCCUUGCAGGAAGCAGAAAAUCUGACCAACACGGAUGGACAGCCGGUGGAAAGCAGGGUGGGCGUCCGCACUAUCUGUGUCAGCCCAGAUGGGAAACACUUGGCGUCCGGAGACCGCGACGGAAUUCUCAGAAUCCAUAACCUCAGCAGCAUGGAGGAGAUUCUUAAAGUGGAAGCUCAUGAUGCUGAAAUCCUCUGUCUGGAAUACAGCAAACCACAAACAGGUCUGCAACUUUUGGCCACGGCAAGCAGAGAUCGUCUAAUUCACGUGCUGGAUGCCACCUCCGACUACAGCCUUGUGCAAACGCUGGACGAGCACUCGUCCUCCAUCACGGCCGUACGCU